AUGGUCUUGGACAGUGAACUCUCCUCAGGAGGUUUUUGUACAGCUGAUAGGAAAAAAUUGAUCUUUUGUGAUGCUUUUGACUACUGGGGGAAAGGGACCCAAGUCACCGUUGAAGGAAAGGAAAUGCCCCUGUCGAUCUUUCCUGUCACGGAGUGCCCUAGUGGAAUUCAGUUCCAGAUUGGCUGCAUGUCCACUGGGCUUCAAAGGGACUCGCCUUUCGAGUGGUUUGAUAGCAAUAAUGUCAAAAUCACAUCUGGCGUUGUUGAGUUUCCUGCUACACCAAGAGACGAAGCUUAUGCCAAAAUGAGUUUCAUCACAGUGAAAAAGGAAGACUUUAACAACGACAAGUAUUUUAAAUGCAAAGUAGGCAAUGGCUCAGCUACCAUACCAGAGACAAAAACACCAACCGUUAAUCUGGUAAAAGUAUCUGAGGGUGAAUCCGUCAUGUGUGUGGCUGAGGAUUUCUUCCCAAAAGACUUCACUAUAAAGUUAAAAGAAAAUGACCAAGUAGUUCCUGGUCAGGACUGGCCAGCCACUCGCAAAUCCCCAGCAUUGCACUAUUCAGCUGGUAGUCUUCUAAAAGUCAAUAAAACUUUGUGGGACAAGAACGUCAAAUACAGCUGUGAAAUAAAGCAUGGGACUGAAGUAAUCACUAAAACACGAUCCUUCACAGGUACAUUCACUGUGACAAUUCACCGACCUGUUGCAAAGGACCUGUUUAUAUACAAAAAAGCAAAAAUACAAUGUGACAUUACUGGUGGAAACAAGAUGGAAGUGGAAGGGGCACAACUGUCAUGGAAGUUUCAAGGCAAACCUGUAAAUGCUACACACAUUACCAGUGAUGAGGUAAAACAGACAGAAGAACUAUAUAUCAAGACUAGCACCCUGACCCUUGAUGAAUCCGACUGGUUUUCGGGUGCAGAAGUUGAGUGCUUCACCAAAAGGGAUCAAGACACAAUCUCUAAAAAAGCUAGCAUAAAACAUGGAGAUGAAAGUUGCUCCGUUCAGAUCUACACACCUAAUGAUAAUGUGCCAAGCGUGGAGAAAAUCCCUCUUGUGUGUCAAGUCAACAGCUCCAGUCUUGGCGACGUGUAUAUCAUGUGGAAAAAGAGCGAUGGUUCAUUUGUAGAAGGGACCAUUACAGCCGCCGACAGUGGAGGCAAAUUCGUUUUCAGCUUUUUAACUGUGACCAGUGAGGAGUACAACAACGUCAUUACUUGUGCAGUCAAACAUGCCAACAUGAAGAAUCUCAACUCCCCAAAAAUGGCAACAGCAUCUAAGAAAGAGCCUUCCGCACCAGACGGAUUGUAUGUAAACUGUGAUAAAGACUCUUCAGAGGAGGAUGACUACAACAGUUUGUGGUCCACCGCCUCGUCCUUCAUCUUCCUCUUCCUCUUCACCAUCGUCUACAGCACUGUCCUCAGCCUCUCCAAGAUGAAGUAAUGCUGAACUGAAAAACAAAUGAAGAGAUUCAGUAUCUAUUUUCCUAAAUCUUCUAAAACUGUUCUCUGGUAUUCUUUAAUCUGCAUGUUUUCUGGUCUGUGCUGUACAUGUAUGUAUAUGUGUAUGUUGUUUGUGUGUCAGCAAUAAUUAUGUUUAUGUACUACUCAAGACUAGAAUUUAUGAAGAA